rnacentral:rRNA from 1 species
AGCGAACGUUAGCGGCGGGCCUAACACAUGCAAGUUCGAGCGAGAAAGUGGCUUCGGCCAUCAGGAAAGCGGCGGACGGGUGAGUAACACGUAGGUAAUCUUCCCUUGAGCGGGGGACAACGAGCCGAAAGGCUCGCUAAUACCGCAUACGUUUCUUGGGACUCUGGUCCUGGGAAGGAAAGCUAGGCAGCAAUGUCCGGCACUCGAGGAGGAGCCUGCGUCGCAUCAGCUAGUUGGUGGGGUAACGGCCUACCAAGGCGAAGACGCGUAGCUGGUCUGAGAGGAUGAUCAGCCACACUGGGACUGAGACACGGCCCAGACUCCUACGGGAGGCAGCAGUGGGGAAUAUUGGACAAUGGGCGCAAGCCUGAUCCAGCCACGCCGCGUGAGUGAUGAAGGCCUUCGGGUCGUAAAGCUCUGUGGGGAGGGACGAACCGCCGUUGGUGCAUAGCCAACGGCAUGACGGUACCUCCUUAGCAAGCACCGGCUAACUUCGUGCCAGCAGCCGCGGUAAUACGAAGGGUGCAAACGUUGCUC